rnacentral:rRNA from 1 species
GGAGUCUGGUCCGUGUCUCAGUACCAGUGUGGGGGACCUUCCUCUCAGAACCCCUAACGAUCGUUGGCCAGGUGGGCCGUUACCCCGCCUGCUGCCUAAUCGUACGCAUCCCCAUCCAUCGGCGACCGAAGUCUUUCGUGAAAAUCAGAGGCCUUCUUCUCACAACAUCAGGUAUUAGGCUCCCUUUCGGGAGUUUAUCCCUGACCCAUGGGCAGGUUGGAUACGCGUUACUCACCCGUGCGCCGGUCGUCAUCUGGCUGAGCAAGCUCAGCCAAUGUUACCCCUCGACUUGCAUGUGUUAAGCCUGUAGCUAGCGUUCAUC